rnacentral:rRNA from 1 species
AGAGUUUGAUCCUGGCUCAGGAUGAACGCUAGCGGCAGGCCUAAUACAUGCAAGUCGAACGGGCUGGAGUAGCAAUACUCCAGUUAGUGGCGCACGGGUGCGUAACGCGUAUGCAACCUACCUUUUAUUGGGGGAUAGCCCGAAGAAAUUCGGAUUAAUACCGCAUAAUAUCAUUUGAGGGCAUCUGAGGAUGAUUAAAGCUACGGCGAUAAAAGAUGGGCAUGCGUGUCAUUAGCUAGUUGGUUGAGGUAACGGCUCACCAAGGCGACGAUGACUAGGGGUUCUGAGAGGAUGAUCCCCCACACUGGUACUGAGAUACGGACCAGACUCCUACGGGAGACAGCAGUAGGGAGUAUUGGGCAAUGGCGGAAACGCUGACCCAGCCAUGCCGCGUGCAGGAUGAAGGCCUUCUGGGUUGUAAACUGCUUUUACCAGGGAAGAAAAUACUCUUGCGAGAGGAACUGACGGUACCUGGUGAAUAAGCACCGGCUAACUCCGUGCCAGCAGCCGCGGUAAUACGGAGGGUGCAAGCGUUGUCCGGAUUUAUUGGGUUUAAAGGGUGCGUAGGCGGCUUCAUAAGUCCGUGGUGAAAGCCAACAGCUCAACUGUUGAACUGCCAUGGAUACUGUGAGGCUUGAGUACAGACGAGGUAGGCGGAAUGGAUCGUGUAGCGGUGAAAUGCAUAGAUACGAUCCAGAACUCCGAUGGCGAAGGCGACUUUCUGGGCUGUAACUGACGCUGAGGCGCGAAAGCGUGGGGAGCGAACAGGAUUAGAUACCCUGGUAGUCCACGCCGUAAACGAUGAGUGCUAAGUGUUAGGGGGUUUCCGCCCCUUAGUGCUGCAGCUAACGCAUUAAGCACUCCGCCUGGGGAGUACGGUCGCAAGACUGAAACUCAAAGGAAUUGACGGGGGCCCGCACAAGCGGUGGAGCAUGUGGUUUAAUUCGAAGCAACGCGAAGAACCUUACCAGGUCUUGACAUCCCGCUGACCGCUAUGGAGACAUAGCUUUCCCUUCGGGGACAGCGGUGACAGGUGGUGCAUGGUUGUCGUCAGCUCGUGUCGUGAGAUGUUGGGUUAAGUCCCGCAACGAGCGCAACCCUUGUUCUUAGUUGCCAUCAUUUAGUUGGGCACUCUAAGGAGACUGCCGGUGACAAACCGGAGGAAGGUGGGGAUGACGUCAAAUCAUCAUGCCCCUUAUGACCUGGGCUACACACGUGCUACAAUGGACGGUACAAACGGUUGCCAACCCGCGAGGGGGAGCCAAUCCGAUAAAACCGUUCUCAGUUCGGAUUGUAGGCUGCAACUCGCCUACAUGAAGCCGGAAUCGCUAGUAAUCGCGGAUCAGCAUGCCGCGGUGAAUACGUUCCCGGGCCUUGUACACACCGCCCGUCACACCACGAGAGUUUGUAACACCCGAAGUCGGUGAGGUAACCCUCUGGGAGCCAGCCGCCGAAGGUGGGACAGAUGAUUGGGGUGAAGUCGUAACAAGGUA